GCUUUUGCUUCCUCCUCAUCUUCUCUUGCUACCACCAUGUAAGAAGUGCCUUUCAGCUCCCACCAUAAUUCUGACAUCUCCUCAGCCAUGUGGAACUAUGAAGUCUUGCUCUGUCGCCCAGGACGAUCUUGGCUCACUGCAACCUCCACCUUCCAGAGAUGGGGUUUCACCAUGUUGACCAGGCUGGCCUAAAACCCCUGAUCUCAAGUAAUCUGCCUGCCUCGGCCUCCAAAGUGCUGGAAUUACAGGCGUAAGCCACUGUGCCAGGCCCAUUUCAUGCUAUUCUUUAAAUUUGCUUCCUUUGUAAAUGAAGACACUAUUAAUCAGUUUAAUUUUAAUGUGUCCAAUAGAAACUAAAUGCUAACUAUCGAUUGCAUGCUUAAUUACUUUUACCUUUGUCUUAACUCUACUGUUCCUUACCUAACUUUUUAUAACUACUUUCUGCAUUUUUGCAUCUUCAUUUUCCACCCAUUUUUGAAUAAUAAAAGAAAAUAACAAUAAAGCAUUAAAAUUAUUUUUAACACCAUUGUUCAAGAAAACUUAGAGAUACUGUAUAACCUAUAGAAAGAAAUCAUAAGAAACAAACACUUGUUUGCUGAUUACAAACCUCUAAAUUUGGUGUAGGAAAGGUCAUGUAAGAGUUUCAGUGCAUAAUUCACAAAAACACAGAUGUAUUAAAAGAGCAAUGUAUCAAAGUCAGGAGCAAUUUCUUCUGUUCCCUGUAUUUCAAUAUCUUUGCCUUUUACUUU
ensembl:lncRNA novel transcript